rnacentral:lncRNA from 1 species
CUGAUACCAACACUGUGAUUUCUGUCUUUGUAAGGCUCUGAGAGAUACACUGUGAGAGGAACUCUGGCGUCCAUGCAAGAAAUGUGGUGGUUGUUAUCUAGAAGCAAAUGAUGAUGUAGGGAGAUUCUACUACUGAAAUGAUGGAGACGGUGGCCUUCCACAAAGGUUCAUGGACAGAAAAUAAUGAGGCAGCUACAUAAUAUAAAAACUAAGAAAUGCUAUUCAUUGUAGUUUCUGCAAGCUUGUACCAGUUUUGAGUUAUGAAGAGAGUUUUCUACAUUCAGCAUCUGAAAUUGCAGAAUGAGAUGACAUGCGUUGUGGUUCAGGAAUGGCCCCACAAACUACUCAAACUCUGGUC